AGACAAUAUUGUCAACGGGUGAGAGAUACUAUCAGGUGGACUUGCUGGUGUGUUUGGGAUCAUUAUCCUGCUGCUCAACCCAAGUGCUCUUGAGCUUGAGGUCACAAACUGGUUGUGAAACAUUCGCCUUCAGGACUUUCUGGUAGAGAGUAGAAUUCAUAUUUCCAUCAAUUACGGCAAGUCAUCCAGGUCCUGAAGCAGCAAAGCAACCCUAGACCAUCACACUGCCACUACCAUGUUUUACUUUUGCUGGCUUACACCAACAAGUGCUGACUGUUUGCUGAGACGAUGAGUAAGUGAGAGAAGUUGUGCGAACUGCACCCAGACGGACGGAGCGAGUGGUUACCUCCAAAAAUGAAUCACAGCCAGACUGAGGAGGUUAUUGUUUGCAAGGAAGCUAGCGCUAGCCUCCUCAGCUAACACUAAGGAUUCGGGGCAUGCCGCAACCUGGGGGCUGGAGGGGUAGAGGAGGUCUGCCAGAGUCAAGCUCGACACGUGUUAAUCAGCAGCCAAAGUCAAGCUCAACGGCAUCUGUUUUGUCCAGGCCUUUUCAUCUCUGGUGACCUCUGGCAGUUUUCAGGGCCUUGGGACAUCCACAGCAUGACCAGGGGCUCAUGGCAACCCUACUUUGCUAUGGUACCCUAGGCCUUACUCUACAGAUGUAGACUUUGUUUUUUUCCCAACAGAUCAUUUUCCACAAGGACAUCCAGAGCAAUUGUGCUGUGUCAGUCCUCCUUCCUGCCUAAUGGCCCUCACCAUAUGUACAAACAUGACUGAAAGUUCUGCACAGUACUGUAAGUACUGAUAUUAUUAAAGUACAUUUCAAAGGGCUUAUUGAUACAGCCUUUCAGGGGCCACGGGGCCUGCUUGUGAUCAUAUACUGUGUCUCUUUCUAUUAACCUGCAUUACCUUGUUCUUGGAUUGAUGUAUUAAAUUGAGGGUAACUUAAAGCUCACACCUUUGCCAUUAAAGUAGAAACUAUUUAUUUCCAGUUUGUUUUUUCUCAAGAGGAUAAAAAACAUGUACUGCAGACAACAUGCAUCCAGCACCUAGCAAACUUGUCUGAAGUCAGAA